rnacentral:rRNA from 1 species
UUAAUAUAAAGAGUCGGACCUGCCCGGUGACUAUAUUGUUAAACGGCCGCGGUACCCUAACCGUGCAAAGGUAGCAUAAUCAUUUGCCUUUUAAUUGGAGGCUGGUAUGAAUGGUUUGACGAGAGCUAAGCUGUCUCUUUUGAAAUAUAUAAAAAUUAACUUUUAGGUGAAGAGGCCUAAAUUUAUUUAAGGGACAAGAAGACCCUGUUGAGCUUUAGUAAAAUUAUAAAUAUUUAAUGUCUAAACGACUUUGGUGUAUGUUGGCGUACAACCAUAAUUUGUAACUAAUCUUUAGUUGGGGCGACUGAGGAACAUAAAAAGCUUCCUUACAGUAAUUGAUUAAUUCUAACAAGAGUUAUUUUAAUGCUAUCAUGUUAUUUUGAUCCAGAGUGUUUUGAUUAAAGGAAAAAGUUACCACAGGGAUAACAGCGUAAUCUUUCUGGAGAGAUCUUAUCGAAAGAAGGGUUUGCGACCUCGAUGUUGGACUAAGAUAUCCUAAGGGUGUAGAAGUUCUUAAAGGUUGGUCUGUUCGACCAUUAAAAUCUUACGUGAUCUGA